CAGAAGAGAGAAGGGAGCAGAGUGGAGAGAAGUUCCAAGACAACAGACUGGAUGUGGACUGGAAGAAGAAGUCAGGAAUUCAGGAAGACUUCAAAGCUGGGAGAGGGAGGGACUGGGAGGAUGGUGUUAGCAAGGCAGGGGGUGGUGGAGGAUUGAUGGGGAAAGAGAAUGAGUCAGACUUGGGACCAGUUGAGUAGAAGACAUCUGAGCGGGAGUCCUGAAAUGGGAAGUCAACAGAGAAACGGGUGGGAAAGGUAGAUUUGAGACUCGUAGCCCAGAGGUGGUGGAACUGAUGGCCUCCCCAGGUGAAGUCAUCUAGAGGGAGGAGAAAGGACGGCCCAGGACCGGGUCCUGAAGGACACUCCAUUAGGGGACAUGAUAUGAAGGAGGAUCUGGCAAAGGAAACGGAGUGGUCAGCAGGGUAGGAGGAAAAGCAGGAGAAAGUGAGGUCUCAGAAACCUAGGGGGGAGUAUCAAGGAGAAGGGAGUGAUGGAGGAACAGCGCAGAAGGCUGCAGAGAGGUUGAGGAGAAGAAGGACCAAGAAAUGGCCACUGGAUUGGGCAAGUAAGAGACCUUUCUGUAACCUGCCUUUCCAACUCAUCUUGCAACCAAAAUGGCUUUCUCUCAAGUUAGCAUUUAAGUUAUUUAAUUGUCAAAUCCAGUGGCUUUUUCUCAGUUCUAAGACAUUGAAAAUGAGCAUAAAUUGUCAUUCACCUCCAUUCAGACUAUUUCAGAAUUGGUGUUUUUCAGUAGAAAGACCAGUAGCUUUGGCAUUAAAGGACCCGGGUUCAAAUCCUGCCCUUGAUAAUACCUGGGUGACUUUAGACAAGACACUUGACUUCAAGGGCCUUAGUCUUCUCAUCUGCAAAAAUGACAGGGGGUGGACUAGAUGGUCAUUGAGGUGCCUUCUGGAUCCCGGAUCCUUUGGUUCUUAAUUGUUACAGUGGCCCUAUUGGAUUGCCAUCCCCACUUUGGAGCCGGGACUCCUAGAAGUUACUCGACAUGGUGUCUAGCCUUUGACAAAGAACCAUCGCUCGGUAUCUAUGACAUCCUCAUUGAGGCUGUGCCUCCUUUCAGCAUUAAGAACAAUGCCCGUGGGUCUUAAAUGCUUUGGGACUACACGACCUCCUCCGGCCCAAGGAAUGCCACCACCCGGCUAAGGAUCCAUUAUUGAACACAACAUGAUGGUAAAAUCAGAACGGAGGCUGGCAGAAAGGAAGAGACCAGCAUCUUGCACCAGCUACCAAGAUAAGCUCCAAGUGGAUCCGGGCCACAUUGUGAAGGAAUUACGGCAAUAGAAGUAAGCCCAUAAUCACACUAAUCUAUAUUUUCCAUACUAAUCCAUGUAAUCCAUAACUAUGAAUAGGGAAAGAGUCCAUGACCAAACAAGGGAUGAAGAGGACCACAGAAGCUAGAAACUGCCUUUUAGGACAAGUGCAGCUUCUCAAAGAUGGAAGACUUUUUUAAGCACACAGGUGGUGCUCAAUAAAUGCUGCUUUCUAUUGCAA